rnacentral:lncRNA from 1 species
CUCAGUGUUAAGUUCUUGUGUUUUGGUCUAUUUUUUAAAACUAUAAGUAAUAGGUCAACUAUAUUUGUUGUAUGGAAGCAUUGUUAGCUGUACAUGUCUGCCUGGCAUGGUUCAUCUGACCUUGACCUCAUUUUCAUGGUUCAUUGCUCUUUGUUUAGUUAUCUUGGUUAAUGUUAAGUUUAUGUGACAGUUUUUAAUAAAGCUUUAUACUUAGGACUAUCAACAUAAUAUCAAUGAUAAGUAAAGAAGGCGAGACAUUUCAGUGUGUGCACUCUUGUGAAUUUACGAAUUAUGUUAAUCAUGUAAAUAAUGUUAUGUUUUUUGUUUUUUGCUUUUUGAAGUUUUUAAAAUUGACAAAUAAUGCUAGCAGGGGAGAUUAUUCAUUAAUAUUUUUAUGAUGCCAAACUUGAAAUUUAGAGGUGCCUAUGUUUGCUAUUUGUUAUAACCCAAUUGUUAUGAUUCUUAAAUAAUCUAUACAAGUAAGCAUGUUAAUUUGUCAAUAACCAUUAUUUUAUUAAUUAGUUUGAAUUUGAUGAGGUUCUUUGAUGUAGAACUUGACUUUUUUUAAACAAAAGUGUUUUU